rnacentral:lncRNA from 7 species
GACCAAACAUAGAAAAACCUUCACGUGACUGCCCUCGUCUGGAAUCUGGAUCUGCCCACACCAAAAAUGCUCUUGUUGAGCAUCUAUCAAUCCUAGCAAAGCACAAUGAUUUGUACCCCUUUGGAUAUUGUGGCUGGCGAUUACGGGCGAGCAGAUGGCAAGUUCGGAAGAAGAGAGCAAGACAGAUCCAAAAAGUAGGGAGGUGGAGAGGCAACCGACAUUUUGUUGGGCUCUUUGCGGUCGCUUCUGGUUGGCUUGGUGUGAUCCAGUCGGGUUUGUUCGGGUCAAACUCCGAUGCG